CGAAGGGUGCAAGCGUUAAUCGGAAUUACUGGGCGUAAAGCGUGCGUAGGCGGUUGGCUAAGUCAGAUGUGAAAGCCCUGGGCUCAACCUGGGAAUGGCAUUUGAAACUGGCGAGCUAGAGUGUGAUAGAGGAUGGCGGAAUUCCCGGUGUAGCGGUGAAAUGCGUAGAGAUCGGGAGGAACAUCCGUGGCGAAGGCGGCCAUCUGGAUCAACACUGACGCUGAGGCACGAAAGCGUGGGGAGCAAACAGGAUUAGAUACCCUGGUAGUCCACGCCCUAAACGAUGCGAACUGGAUGUUGGUCUCAACUCGGAGAUCAGUGUCGAAGCUAACGCGUUAAGUUCGCCGCCUGGGGAGUACGGUCGCAAGACUG
rnacentral:rRNA from 1 species